UCUGCCUGUACUUCUGCACCGCCUAUGUGUCUUGACUGAACUCUUUCAUCAAGGGCGCAAAGAACCUCGGACCAAGGGAGUGAGGGUUCGGCUCCUUACUGCAUCAGGACUCAGCUUCCCAGUGACGAGAUCAUUCCCACUGAGAGCUAUUACAAAAAAGCUGUCCUCUGCGACCUACUUGACCUUCAGAAGAUCCUUCACCAGCCAUUGUCUGGUCUCUGGUCCAUUCAAUUCCUCAUCCCCGUCUCCUGUGGACAAGGGUGGCAGCAUCUGAACCUCGCUGAGCUCAGGCAAUCACCAUCUGGGAUUUCUCCCAUGGAUGUUAAAACAACCAAAAAAGAAAGAAGAAAGGGAAGGACUUCAGGAAUGCAAGAGUGGCAAUUCCUACCACAUUCCCAUGCCGUACACCUACUUGGCUCAUGCAGAAGACAGAUGGACCUGGGAGGAUGACAGCAGAUUAUCACAAGCUUAACCAGGUGGUAUCUCCAAUGGCAGCUGUUGUACC